UUAUCAAGAUGAAAUGCAUUACUUUAGCAUGCCAAAGAUGUCAAAACAAGUGCGUUGUACACCCAUUGCCCUACCCACAUGUGUGAACCGAAUUAAAUACAAUAAUUUGUAGUGUCCUUUUAUUAAGUCUAGCAUGCAUUUUCAGGCGCUGAAGGAAAAGGUUACUUGGGUUAAGCAGUAAUCAUGACAACAGCUCUAGUCAUCCAAUAUCAUCUGAUGAAGAAACACUGCAAGCACUUAAGAGCAGAUUCUACCAGAAGCUUCACUUCCGCUGGCCUGCUGCCGAUGUUCCCAGUCGGCCACACCCCCAAACAGCAGCAACACAAGUACACCUGAUGGAUUUUACUAUGCAUCGGCUAGCACAGAUGUCUAUUCUAACCUAUGAAGGCUUCAGGUGGUUCAGUAAUGCUGAAAAAGGAUGAUAUGAUGGUACUGUGCUGACAUUGGAGGAACAAGCAGCGAAUCGGGAACAAAUGAGGAAAAUUGAGAACCCUGUUGGAGUAAGAUGGAAGCCAGUUAGAUGAACCCUGUUAGAUGAACCUUGUUGUGUAUUUUAUCUAAUGGUUUCGAACCAUGUUGUUCAUGAUGUGGAGAUGGACCCUAUUGGUCAUGUAAAUUAGAUGCCUCGAUUGUGAACCCUUGAAUGUUUCAGAAUGUUGGUUUGAGACCUAGACUGCUUGAAAAUAUUGGUUUUAAACAUUGUUUGACU